rnacentral:rRNA from 1 species
CUGGUUGAUCCUGCCNGUAGUCAUAUGCUUGNUCUCAANGAUUAAGCCAUGCAUGUCUAAGUUUAACGAAGUUAAGAGAAGACUGUGAACAGCUCAUUAAAACAGUUAUAGUUUAUUUGAUGAUGGAAAGCCAAAUGGAUAACCGUGGUAAUUCUAGAGCUAAUACAUGAGGGAACUAGUAGGUGAUUAAGCCUAUUAAGUGUUUAUUAGAUUACAAGCCAAUCUACUUUGUAGAAACUGGUGAUUCACAGUAACCGAUCGAGUCGCAUGACCUUGAGUUGGCGAUACAUCAUUCAAGUUUCUGACCUAUCAGCUUUCGACGGUAUGGUAUUGGCUUACCGUGGCAGUGACGGGUAACGGGGAAUUAGGGUUUGAUUCCGGAGAGGGAGCCUGAGAAAUGGCUACCACAUCUAAGGAGGGCAGCAGGCGCGUAAAUUACCCAAUCCUAACGCAGAGAGGUAGUGACAAGAAAUAACAAUACAAGGCACUUCGUGUUUUGUAAUUGGAAUGAGAAUGAAGUAAAAUUGCAUUCGAUUAACAAUUGGAGGGCAAGUCUGGU